GAUGUAGUCAUACUGCAGCGAAAACACGCGUGUCGCAUAUUCUAUGAACGUAUAAUUAAUUGAUCAGUUUUUUAAUUGUCAGUUUUAAUCAUUAAUAAUAAUGAAACCAAACAAAAAAAACAACUGUCUGAUAUUUCAGUCCGAUCGUUUUUCAUAUGCGAAAAUUGGAGUACAUGGUGCAGUACGUCAUAAAAAAUUUAAAAAAAUUAAAU